GACGAACGCUGGCGGCGUGCUUAACACUUGCAAGUCGAACGGAAAGGCCCUGCUUGCAGGGUACUCGAGUGGCGAACGGGUGAGUAACACGUGGGUGAUCUGCCCUGCACUUCGGGAUAAGCCUGGGAAACUGGGUCUAAUACCGGAUAGGAGCCAUCUUUAGUGUGGUGGUUGGAAAGUUUUUUCGGUGUAGGAUGAGCUCGCGGCCUAUCUGCUUGUUGGUGGGGUAAUGGCCUACCAAGGCGGCGACGGGUAGCCGGCCUGAGAGGGUGUACGGCCACAUUGGGGCAGAGAUACGGCCCAGACUCCUACGGGAGGCAGCAGUGGGGAAUAUUGCACAAUGGGCGCAAGCCUGAUGCAGCGACGCCGCGUGGGGGAUGAAGGCCUUCGGGUUGUAAACUCCUUUCGCUAGGGACGAAGCGUUUUUGUGACGGUACCUAGAUAAGAAGCACCGGCUAACUACGUG
rnacentral:rRNA from 1 species